GUUCAAAUGAGGAAAGGCUUACGGUGCAUAACUAGGCACCCAGAGAUGAGGAAGGGCGUAGUAAUCAAUGAAAUGCUUUGGGAAGUUAAAAAUAAGAAUAGAUCCAGAGAUUCCCGAAUAGGGAAACCUUUCAAACUACUGCUGAAUCUAUGGGCAAGAAAGAGACAACCUGGCGAACUGAAAUAUCUUAGUAGCUAGAGGAAAAGAAAACAAAAGAGAUUCCCGUAGUAGUGGUGAGCAAAAUGGGAGCAGCCUAAACCAUGAAAAUGGGUUAUGGGAGAGCAAUACAAACGUUGUGCUGCUAGGUGAAUCAACCUUAAUGUUGCUCCCUAGAUGGAAAAAUUCCAGUAGCCAAAAGCAUCACUAGCUUAUGCUCUGACCCGAGUAGCAUAGGGCACGUGGAAUCCCGUGUGAAUCAACAAGGACCACCUUGCAAGGCUAAAUACUCCUGGGUGACCGAUAGCAAAGUAGCACCGUGAGGAAAGGGUGAAAAUAACCCCUAUCGGGGAGUGAAAUAGAACAUGAAGCCAUAAGCUCCCAACCAAUGGGAGGAGCCAAGGCUCUGACCCUGUGACUGCUGAAGAAUGAGUCGGUGACUCAUAGGCAGUGGCUUGGUUAAGGGAACCCACCGGAGCCGUAGCAAAAGCGAGUCCUCAUAGGGCAAUUAUCACUACUUAUGAACCUGAACCUGGGUGAUCUAUCCAUAACCAGGAUGAAGCUUGGGUGAAACUAAGUGGAGGUCCAAACCGACUGAUGUUGAAGAAUCAGCGGAUGAGUUGUGGUUAGGGGUGAAAUGCCACUCGAACCCAGAGCUAGUUGGUUCUCCCCGAAAUGUAUUGAGGCACAACAGUUGACUGGACAUCUAGGGUUAAAGCACUAUUUCAGUGUGGUCCAGGAGAGCGGUACCAAAUCAAGGAAAGCUCUGAAUACUAGGUAUGGCCUUAAAAUUAAAAAAGAGGGGUCAAAGUCAACUAGUGAGAUGAUGGGGGAUAAGCUUCAUCGUCAAGAGGGAAAUAGCCCGGAUCACCAGCUAAGGAUCCUAAAUAGCCGCUCAGUGAUAAAGGAGGUAGGGGUGCAGAGACAGCCAGGAGGUUUACCUAGAAGCAACCACCCUUGAAAGAGUGCGUAAUAGCUCACUAAUCGAGCGCUCUUACGCCAAAAAUAAAUAGGGCUAAGUAAUCUGCCAAAGCUGUGGAGUGUAAAAAUACAUCGGUAGGGGAGCUUUCCGCCUUAGAGGGAAGCCUCUGCAUGAAUGGUGGUGGACGAAGUGGAAGCGAGAAUGUCGGAUUGAGUAACGCAAACAUUGGUGAGAAUCCAAUGCCCUAAAAUCCUAAGGAUUCCUCCGCAAGGUUCGUCCACGGAGGGUGCGUCAGGGCCUAAGAUCAGGCCGAAAGGCAUAGUCAAUGGACAACAGGUGAAUAUUCCUGUACUACCCCUUGUUGGUCCCGAGGGAUGGAAGAGGCUAGGUUAGCCAAAAAAUGGUUAUCGGUUCAAGAACGUAAGGUGUCCCUGCCCUUUUUUCAGGGUAAGAAGGGGUAGAGAAAAUGCCUCAAGCCAAUGUUCAAAUACCAGGCCCUACGGCGCUGAAGUAACCCAUGCCAUAGUCCUAGGAAAAUCUCAAACGAAUUUGAGAAAGAGGGUACCUAUACCCGAAACCAACACAGGUGGGUAGGUAGAAAAUACCUAGGGGAGCGAGACAACUCUCUCUAAGGAACUCGGCAAAAUAGCCCCGUAACUUUGGGAGAAGGGGUGCCUCUUAACAUCACAAAGGGGGUCACAAUGACCAGGCUCGGGUGACUGUUUACCAAAAACACAGGUCUCCGCAAAGUAGUAAGACCAUAUAUGGGGGCUGACACCUGUCCAGUGUCGGAAGGUCAAAGAAGUUGGUGACCUGAUGACAGGGGAGCCGGCGACCGAAGUCCCAAUGAACGGCAGCCAUAACUAUAAUGGUCCUAAGGUAUCAAAAUUCCUUAUCGGCUACAUUUUGACCCGUACGAAAGGCUUAACAAUCUGGCACUAUCUUGGAGAGAGACUCGAUAAAAUAGACAUGUCUAUGAAGAUGCGGACUACCUAUACCUGGACAAAAAGACCCUAUAAAGCUUCACUGUUCCUUGGGAUUGGAUUUAGGUAUUUCUUGCGUAGCUUAGGUGGAAUACGAAGAAGGCCUCCUUCUAGGGGGCCCGAGCCAUCAGUGAGAUACCACUCUGGAAGGGCUAGAAUUCUAACCUUGUGUCAGGACCUACGGACCAAAGGACAAUCUCAGGUAGACAGUUUCUAUGGGGAAUAGGCCUCCCAAAAUGUAAUGGAGGUGUGCAAAGGUUUCCUCGGGCCAGACGAAGAUUAGCCCUCGAGUGCAAAGGCAGAAGGGAACUUGACUGCAAGACCUACCCAUCGAGUAGGGGCAAAAGUCAGCCUUAGUGAUACGAUGGUGUCGAGUGGAAGGGCCAUCGUUCAAUGGAUAAAAGUUACUCUAGGGAUAACAGGAUGAUCUUUCUCAAGAGCUCACAUCGACGGGAAGGUUUGGCACCUCGACGUCGGCUCUUCGCCACCUAGGGUUGUAGUUUGUUCCAAGGGUUGGGCUGUUUGCCCAUUAAAGCGGUACGUGAGCUGGGUUCAGAACGUCGUCAGACAUUUUGGUCCAUAUCCAGUGUGGAAGUUAGAGCAUUGAGAGAACCUUUCCCUAGCAUGAGAGUACCGGGAAGGACGCACCUCUGGCGUACCAGUUAUCGUGCCCACGGUAAAUGCUGGGUAGCCAAAUGCAGAGCGGAUAACUACUGAAAGCAUCUAAGUAGUAAGCCCACCCCAAGAUGAGUUCUCUCCUAUUCUGACUUCCCCAAAGCUUCCGAUAGCAUAGAUGAGACACCGACGGGUUCUCUACCCCUGCGGGGAAGGAACGACAGAAGUUUUUUUGAGAAUUCAAGAGAAGGUCAUGGCGAGACAAGCCAUUUGUCAUUACGAUAGGUGUCAAGUGGAAAUGCAGUGAUGUAUGCAGCUGAGGCAUCCUAACAGACUGGUAGACUUGAAUCU
rfam:Capsicum annuum cultivar Zunla-1 chromosome 7, whole genome shotgun sequence